AUGGCAGCAGCUAUGUCAGUGUUUCAGCCACCGGUCAGAGGCUUUUCUUUUUAUAAUUGCCACAGGAAUGAUGUCUUGGAAGCUGAGUUUGAAAAAAAAGGGGUUCAAGCUCCUGAAAGCUUGGAAAACUGUCACUACGAUCACAGGGGUGGUCUAUAAGAAUGGCAUAGUUCUUGGAGCAGACACAAGAGCGACUGAAGGGAUGGUUGUUGUUGACAAAAACUGUUCAAAAAUUCACUUUCAUACCUCCUAAUAGUUAUUGCUGUGGAGCUGGGAUAGCUGCAAACACAGAUAUGACAACCCAGCUUAUUUCUUCCAACUUGGAGCUCUACUCUUCACUGGCCACCUUCCGAGAGUUGUUACAGCUAAUAGGAUGUUGAAGCAGAUGCUUUUCCGGUAUCAAGGUUACAUUGGUGCAACCCUAGUUUUGAGGAGAGUAGACAGUACUGGUCCUCAUCUCUACAGCAUCUAUCCUCAUGGAUCAACUGAUAAAUCGCCUUAUGUCACUGUGGGUUCUGGCUCCUUGGCAGCAAUGGCUGUGUUUGAAGGUUAAAUUUAGGCUGGAUAUGGAGGAGAAAGAAGCUAGUGAGUGAGGCUAUUGCAGCUAAGCAUCUUUAUUGACUGAGGGUCUGGAAGCAACAUUGAUCUGCGUGUUAUCAGCAAGAGCAAGCUGGACUUUCUUCGUUCAUACUCAGUGCCCAACAAGAAAGGGACCGGAUUUGGCCGGUACAGAUGUGAGAAAGGCACUACCGCUGUCCUCACUGAGAAAGCCACCCUUCUGGAGAUUCGGGUACUAGAAGAGACAAUGGAUACUUCGUGA
rnacentral:lncRNA from 1 species